GUGGGUGUAGCUCAGUGGUAGAGUGCAUGCUUAGCAUGCACAAGGUCCUGGGUUCAAUCCCCAGUACCUCCA
rnacentral:tRNA from 1 species